rnacentral:rRNA from 1 species
GGGGGGUUCUUGGUAUUAAUUCCAUCGCUGGAAUUAAAGCUCCUGAGAC